ACUCCUACGGGAGGCAGCAGUAGGGAAUCUUCCACAAUGGGUGCAAACCUGAUGGAGCAAUGCCGCGUGAGUGAAGAAGGUCUUCGGAUCGUAAAGCUCUGUUGUUAGAGAAGAACACGUGCUAGGUAACUACUAGCGCCUUGACGGUAUCUAACCAGAAAGUCACGGCUAACUACGUGCCAGCAGCCGCGGUAAUACGUAGGUGACAAGCGUUGUCCGGAUUUAUUGGGCGUAAAGGGAGCGCAGGCGGUCUGUUUAGUCUAAUGUGAAAGCCCACGGCUUAACCGUGGAACGGCAUUGGAAACUGACAGACUUGAAUGUAGAAGAGGAAAAUGGAAUUCCAAGUGUAGCGGUGGAAUGCGUAGAUAUUUGGAGGAACACCAGUGGCGAAGGCGAUUUUCUGGUCUAACAUUGACGCUGAGGCUCGAAAGCGUGGGGAGCGAACAGGAUUAGAUACCCGGGUAGUCCCAUGA
rnacentral:rRNA from 1 species